UGAAACUGCUUCAUCUCAUUCCUGAUUCAAGUUGAUCCCUUCAGUGGCUCGUUCUUGAAUUAACAAUAUAAAACUGGCCAAAAUGGGUUUAAAGUGGUCAGAACUUACUCAUGACCAAUUCAAUCUUUCCUCAAAAAGGAAAAAUCAGUUCUGACCAGUUAAAAUCUAUUUUGACCAGUUCAAACUAAUUCUGAAGAGCUGGAGCCUGAGGUUGGUAGACUCAGGAAGAUGGCUGAAGAUGAUGCUGAUUCGAGCCAGAGCAAGGAAUCAGAUUCCAGGUGAAUUAUCAUAUUCUGAUGCCUUGAUGUUGAGAUCAAUAGAGGAUGGACACAGAGAAAAAAAUCAAGAAUUCUACACCAUUUUGAUGAAUCAGAAUUUCUGAAUCCCAUUUGGCUUCAUACCUUGGCUUUUGAUUUUCAACUCAUGCUCAUUUAAAAGCUUGAUGAGUUACUUUGGACAUGCAUACCUGCCUUGAAUUUGGCACCUUCCUUCAGACCUGAUGUUCUGUAUUCUUACUUCAGAUCUACACACCAUAAUUGCAGGUGUUUCUGGCUACAGCUCCCAUUCAUCAGAUCCACCAAGGGGAACAACCAGUGAGCAUACUUCUAUAUUCUAAAAACUGGCCUGGAACUGUCCACAACCCAAGGUCCUAAGAGCAUUUGGACACCAAGAAUUACUUCUGCAUACUGCCAUUAAAUGCCAAUUCUCCAGUAACAUGUCGAGGAAGUAAGAAGGGAAAGACCCUAAUCAGUCCCUGUAUACACAUUCUAAUUUAGAAAAAAGAGACCUGGAACACAGGAGACAAGGGUGUGUUGUAGGACAAAAUGGAGAGUAUGUUAGGUACAGUGAAAAAUAUAUUUUAAUACAUAAGCUGGAAAGUAAAGAGAACCUGAAAGUACAGGUGGUAAUAUUGCAAAUUUCUGAAUAUGUCUAAAACACAGAAAUAUUUCUUAGGUGAUCUUCUGAAGACAGAAAGUAUUUUGAAUGAGUGGUGGAUUUUAAAUGAAACAAUUAAAUUCAUACUUAGUGGAAUCGUAGCUGUCAUGGACUGACUGGCAGCCUUUUUUAUCUCUUUAAUUCUCUCUUACUCCUUUUUGUUCAAAAAGCAUUAAGCCUCUGUUAUGGACUAUUUUUCUAAUAAAAAUGUAGUUCUAAGAAUAUCACUUCUACUUGGGAAGUGCUCAUAUAUAAGAGAUGGGCUUUUGGAGUGUCAGCCACUUCAAGGAUCACAUUUAUUUCAAGAAUUUGUUUUUCUUUAUAGGCUUUCAUGAGAGUGGACUCAUGUUAUAUUCUUAUAUGCUCUGAUAGCUGCUUUUUGAACUUUAGAAAACUGAGAUGCAUGAAAGACUUCAGAGGUGCUUCAUCACUUCCAACAGGAGAAAUAUCAAUGUACAAUUGCUAAAGAGAGCCAGAAUCGAACCAAGUUCUUUGAGAAUAAGAUUUCUCUCCCUGGGAUUAAACAUUAAAUGAAAGCUAUAUUUAAAAAUGUUGGAACUUUCCUUUUUCUGGAGAAUCAAGAUCCUUAUUUGAUAGUAGGAACAAAUUUGUACAGAAAUACAUUAUUUGAAAUAUGUUUGCUGUUAUCUGCUGCAGAGGUGGAUGCCAGAAGGGAGAUUCUUGGUAUCACAUCAGAAAACUUGAAGAUUAUAGAACACAUGGAAGAUUUGGUUGGAACAGUAUAACAGCAGGACUUUUUACUUAUACCCAAGGCACUCCAUUCUAUAACUAAAGAAGAGACCUGGGCUCCAACAAGGAAUUUUCAGUUUGAGCUCAGAACACUGAGAAGAUAAGGAGGGAGGAGAGAAGAAGGAUUUUUUUUUGUAAAUAUUUUGAAGGUUUAAUUUAUUUUUGAAGAAGUGGUUGAAUUAAUAGUAGGGGCCUAGUAGUUUAAAUGUUAGAGAGUAGAGGAUAGUUGACAUUUUGUGUUGCUGUAAUAUUUUAUUUGGUUUUGAUAACACUCUUUUAUAGUAUAAAAUGCAUAACUUUUCUAGUGAGGUUUCCGGGGUGAGGGGUUGUAUUGUUAAAUGUGAAGGAGAAUACCAUUAGUGUUUUAUAUUUAUGUUACUAUAUUAUUUUAAGUAUAAUGAUACAGUUAUAUUCUGAACAACACUCUUCUCUGAUGAGCUUUGUGGGAGGGAAAGAGCACAUAUAUGGUUAAAUGUGAGGGAAAUAUUUGUGUAAUUUUAGAGCAAUUCUAUUGUAUUAUUUGUAAAAUAAUUAUGUUUGUGCAAUGUAUAUCCUUGUCACUUAGAUUGGUAGAUUGAGAAGGGAUGUGUAUUUAGUACCUGUACCAGUAUCUAGUAGUAGAAAACAUUUGGUAAAUAUUUUUUGAUUGAAUUAAUGAUUAAUUAACUGUGAUUAUUUAUGUAGUAUUUCCUCAUUAUUCAGUAUUUCCUCAUAAAUGUCAGAUAAAAGUUAUAUUUAUUUUAUAAAUAAAAAAUAUUUAU